rnacentral:rRNA from 1 species
UCAUAACGGAGGAAAGAAACCAACAGGGAUUGCCCUAGUAACGGCGAGUGAAGCGGCAACAGCUCAAAUUUGAAAUCUGGCUCCUUUGGGGUCCGAGUUGUAAUUUGCAGAGGGAGCUUUUGGCGUCGGUCGUGGUCUAAGUUCCUUGGAACAGGACGUCACAGAGGGUGAGAAUCCCGUACGUGGCCGCCGGCCUUCGCCUUGUAAAGCCCCUUCGACGAGUCGAGUUGUUUGGGAAUGCAGCUCUAAAUGGGAGGUAAAUUUCUUCUAAAGCUAAAUACCCGCCAGAGACCGAUAGCGCACAAGUAGAGUGAUCGAAAGAUGAAAAGCACUUUGGAAAGAGAGUGAAAAAGCACGUGAAAUUGUUGAAAGGGAAGCGCUUGCGGCCAGACGUGCCCGCGGUUGAUCAUCCAGGCUCCAGCCUGGUGCACUCCUCCGCGGGCAGGCCAGCAUCAGUUCGGGCGGUCGGAUAAAGGCCUCUAUCACGUACCACCCCUCGGGGUGGCCUUAUAGGGGAGGCGCAACACGGCCAGCCCGGACUGAGGUUCCGCGCAUCUGCUAGGAUGCUGGCGUAAUGGCAGCAAGCGGCCCGUCUUGAAACACGGACCAAGGAGUCUAACAUCUAUGCGAGUGUUUGGGUGUCAAGCCCGAGCGCGCAAUGAAAGUGAACGGAGGUGGGAACCCUUACCGGUGCACCAUCGACCGAUCCUGAUGUCUUCGGAUGGAUUUGAGUAAGAGCAUAGCUGUUGGGACCCGAAAGAUGGUGAACUAUGCCUGAAUAGGGUGAAGCCAGAGGAAACUCUGGUGGAGGCUCGCAGCGGUUCUGACGUGCAAAUCGAUCGUCAAAUUUGGGCAU